rnacentral:rRNA from 1 species
AUUGAACGCUGGCGGCAGGCCUAACACAUGCAAGUCGAACGGAAGCAGGAAGCUGGUUGCUUGUUUGCUGACGAGUGGCGUGCGUAAGGGCAAUGUCUCUGCAACUUCGUGAUGGAUGAGGUUCACUAAUGGGAACUGUUACUGAUACCGUAUAGCGUGGGAAAACGAGGGAUCGUGAGCUUCGGGCCUCUCGGCUUCGGCUAGGUCCAGGUGGGAUUAGCUAGUAGGUGGGGUAAAGGCAUACCGAGGCGACGAUCCGUAGCUGGUCUGAGAGGAUGACCAGUCACACUGGAACUGAGACACGGUCCAGACUCCUACGGGAGGCAGCAGUGGGGAAUAUUGCACAAUGGGCGAAAGCCUGAUGCAGCCAUGCCGCGUGUAUGAAGAAGGUCUUCGGGUUGUAAAGUACUUUCAGCGGGGAGGAAGGGAGUAAAGUUAAUACCUUUACGUAUUGACGUUACCAGCAGAAGAAGCACCGGCUAACUUCGUG